CAGCAGCCACGGGAAUACGAAGGGGGCCAGCGUUGUUCGGAAUUACUGGGCGUAAAGCGCACGUAGGCGGAUUUUUAAGUCAGGGGUGAAAUCCCGAGGCUCAACCUCGGGACUGCCUUUGAUACUGGAGAUCUUGAGUUCGGAAGAGGUUGGUGGAACAGCUAGUGUAGAGGUGAAAUUCGUAGAUAUUAGCUAGAACACCAGUGGCGAAGGCGGCCAACUGGUCCGAUACUGACGCUGAGGUGCGAAAGCGUGGGGAGCAAACAGGAUUAGAUACCCGGGUAGUCCCUGUCUCUUAUAC
rnacentral:rRNA from 1 species